rnacentral:rRNA from 1 species
GACGAACGCCGGCGGCGUGCUUAACACAUGCAAGUCGAACGCUGAAGCUCCAGCUUGCUGGGGUGGAUGAGUGGCGAACGGGUGAGUAAUACGUGAGUAACCUGCCCUUGACUCUGGGAUAAGCAUGGGAAACCGGGCCUAAUACUGGAUACGACGUCCUACCGCAUGGUGGGGCGUGGAAAGGGGUUUACUGGUUUUGGAUGGGCUCACGGCCUAUCAGCUUGUUGGUGGGGUAAUGGCCUACCAAGGCGACGACGGGUAGCCGGCCUGAGAGGGUGACCGGCCACACUGGGACUGAGACACGGCCCAGACUCCUACGGGAGGCAGCAGUGGGGAAUAUUGCACAAUGGGCGGAAGCCUGAUGCAGCGACGCCGCGUGAGGGAUGACGGCCUUCGGGUUGUAAACCUCUUUCAGCAGGGAAGAAGCCACAAGUGACGGUACCUGCAGAAGAAGCGCCGGCUAACUACGUGCCAGCAGCCGCCGUAAGAC